rnacentral:rRNA from 1 species
GUCGGGAAUUUUGGGCAAUGGGCGAAAGCCUGACCCAGCAACGCCGCGUGAAGGAUGAAGUAUUUCGGUAUGUAAACUUCGAAAGAAUGGGAAGAAUCAAUGACGGUACCAUUUAUAAGGUCCGGCUAACUACGUGCCAGCAGCCGCGGUAAUACGUAGGGACCAAGCGUUGUUCGGAUUUACUGGGCGUAAAGGGCGCGUAGGCGGCUUGUCAAGUCACUUGUGAAAUCUCUGGGCUUAACCCAGAACGGCCAAGUGAAACUGACAUGCUAGAGUGCAGAAGGGGCAAUCGGAAUUCUUGGUGUAGCGGUGAAAUGCGUAGAUAUCAAGAGGAACACCUGAGGUGAAGACGGGUUGCUGGGCUGACACUGACGCUGAGGCGCGAAAGCCAGGGGAGCAAACGGGAUUAGAAACCCGGGUAGUCC